rnacentral:rRNA from 1 species
UACGUAGGGAGCAAGCGUUGUCCGGAAUCAUUGGGCGUAAAGCGCGCGUAGGCGGCCUCAUAAGUCCGUUGUGAAAGUCAAAGGCUCAACCUUUGAAAGCCGAUGGAUACUGUGAGGCUAGAGUACGGAAGAGGCGAGUGGAAUUCCAGGUGUAGCGGUGGAAUGCGCAGAUAUCAGGAGGAACACCAAUAGCGAAGGCAGCUCGCUGGGACGUUACUGACGCUAAGGCGCGAAAGCGUGGGGAGCGAACAGG